rnacentral:tRNA from 1 species
GAUGUAGCGCAAUGGAUAGCGCAUUGGACUUCUAAUCCAAAGGUCGUGGGUUCGAAUAUCACCUGGGACG